GUAGGGCGCGAGCGUUGUCCGGAAUUAUUGGGCGUAAAGAGCUUGUAGGCGGUUUGGUUGCGUCUGCUGUGAAAGACCGGGGGCUUAACCCCGGUAUUGCAGUGGGUACGGGCAGACUAGAGUGCAGUAGGGGAGACUGGAAUUCCUGGUGUAGCGGUGAAAUGCGCAGAUAUCAGGAGGAACACCGAUGGCGAAGGCAGGUCUCUGGGCUGUAACUGACGCUGAGAAGCGAAAGCAUGGGGAGCGAACAGGAUUAGAUACCCUGGUAGUCCAUGCCGUAAACGUUGGGCACUAGGUGUGGGGGACAUUCCACGUUUUCCGCGCCGUAGCUAACGCAUUAAGUGCCCCGCCUGGGGAGUACGGCCGCAAGGCUA
rnacentral:rRNA from 1 species